rnacentral:rRNA from 1 species
GAAUUACUGGGCGUAAAGCGCGCGUAGGCGGAUAAUUAAGUCAGAUGUGAAAUCCCUGGGCUCAACCUAGGAACUGCAUUUGAUACUGGUUAUCUAGAGUAUGGUAGAGGUGAGUGGAAUUUCAGGUGUAGCGGUGAAAUGCGUAGAGAUCUGAAGGAACAUCAGUGGCGAAGGCGACUCACUGGGCCAUUACUGACGCUGAGGUGCGAAAGCGUGGGUAGCAAACAGGAUUAGAUACCCUGGUAGUCCACGCCCUAAACGAUGUCAACUAGGUGUGUGAGAGUCUAACUCUUUGCGUAUCGAAGCUAACGCGAUAAGUUGACCGCCUGGGGAGUACGGUCGCAAGACUAAAACUCAAAUGAAUUGACGGGGGCCCGCACAAGCGGUGGAGCAUGUGGUUUAAUUCGAUGC